CCCGCAACAAAGCCACGGACUGUUACAUCAGAGAGGAGGUGAUGCUGUUGCAGUGCCAUGUAUGGCAAGCAAAGAUUAAACAGAAGGAUCGCUAUCCAGAUGAAAAAUACCAACAACUAAAACAGAACUGCCUUUGCCAAAGAAUAAGAGUCCUAUGUUAGAGAGUCACCAACCUGCAGUAUUAGGUUUCUGGAAAAAUAAUAUUAAGGAAGUUGACAAUGCAAUAUUUAAUUGUUAUAUAAUUUUAACAAUCAGACAAGCUGUACCAUUUUAGAAAUGCUUUGCCAUUUAAAAUAAAGAGGGCCUGAUUCCAAACUCACCAUGCAACUAUGAUGGCUUCUGAUUGACACUGGGGUAAAUGAGAUGAGCAUCUGACUUUAUAUAGCUGGCACUAAAAAUUAGUAAC